GGCGGAACAGAUCUACUAAUUCUUUUAUUCCAGUUAGUAAGAGGGAUCUUGAACUAAGAAAUAGACCUAGCAGCUAAAAGAGGGUAUCCUGAGCAAUUGCAAGCAUGGGGUUCAUUGAUAUUCCUGAUCGGACGAGCACA